rnacentral:rRNA from 1 species
GACGAACGCUGGCGGCGUGCUUAACACAUGCAAGUCGAACGAAGAGCGAUGGAAGCUUGCUUCUAUCAAUCUUAGUGGCGAACGGGUGAGUAACGCGUAAUCAACCUGCCCUUCAGAGGGGGACAACAGUUGGAAACGACUGCUAAUACCGCAUACGAUCUAAUCUCGGCAUCGAGGAUAGAUGAAAGGUGGCCUCUACAUGUAAGCUAUCACUGAAGGAGGGGAUUGCGUCUGAUUAGCUAGUUGGAGGGGUAACGGCCACCAAGGGGAUGAUCAGUAACCGGUCUGGAAGGAUGAACGGCCACAUUGGGACUGAGACACGGCCCAGACGCCUACGGGAGGCAGCAGUGGGGAAUCUUCCGCAAUGGACGAAAGUCUGACGGAGCAACGCCGCGUGAGUGAUGACGGCCUUCGGGUUGUAAAGCUCUGUUAAUCGGGACGAAAGGCCUUCUUGCGAAUAGUGAGAAGGAUUGACGGUACCGGAAGAGAAAGCCACGGCUAACUACGUG